rnacentral:hammerhead_ribozyme from 1 species
AUUCAGCUGACGAGUCCUAAAUCGGACGAGACGCUAAUCCUGGAU